AUGAAAAGGGACGGAAAAGCACGACCAGAUGACUAUGAAUUUGGCAAGAUACAGGAGAACAUCGUAAACAACAGCAACACCAGCACACGACCAAACUGCUACCACCUCCACCCAAGCGCCGGCGUGAACCACGACAUAGUUUGCACAAGGUACCUGACAGACAACGCGACCCUGCGGACACUAGAGCAAGCAGAUCCAGCAGCCUCAAGUAGACUAGUCGAUGCCAACCGCACGAAUGAAAUCGUAGCCACAACAGAACCAAGAGAAAGGAGAAAAGGAAAGAAAGAAGAAGAAUACAAAGAGAGGAAGAGAAGAACAAAAUCAAGGGACAUGGGCAUUGACAAGAAGAAGAUAAAGAACGUACCAAUAGCACGCGAGGCCAAGAUGAACUCCAACAGCAGGAUGAUGUCAACAACCCCAAAAACAAGAAUGAACGCAACAAACAAAGCAACCUCACAACAGACAAUGCUACAAAAACUACCCCAACACAAGCACAAGAUACGAUCGACGUCAGAACCAGUGAAGAGGCUCAGCUGGAGAACAAUCAAGUCAGCAGUCCCGCCAACCAAAUGCAAGAGGCUGACCCACAAUCAACCGUUAGCAUAA
rnacentral:rRNA from 1 species